CUUGUAACUAUUAUGUCGAGUUGAUGUCGCACAAGGUUCCAAGAAUUGAUGGUACUUUUUGGUUAUUGAUAUGGCUUAGUUGUUAUGCAACCACGAAACUUCCUUGAUGCCAUCUUGUUUUCAGGUGAGUCUGUUUAUGUUGAGCCAGAGAGUUGCUGGUUGUCUAGUUAUAGAAGCAAUAAAAACUGCAUACAUUUAAUUUACCAUCAGAGAUAUUCGUCUACAAUGGGAUCUGUGGUGUUUUAAUGGGGUUGUUAUACAUGGAAGAGUGAUGGUGUUGUUGAAUGAAGAACAUGAAGGGGUUUUGCCUGUGGUUUCACUGUGGUGGUGGCUGUGAAAGACAUGGAAAUGAUGUUGCUGUGGAAGCUACAGUGGUGGAUUGCUUGGAAGAGAUGGUAGUGCUGUAAUUACAGAAACAGAAGGUUGCCUUCAGGACAAAGGUAUUCCAUCCUAAUAUCAACAGAAUGGGAGCAUCUGUCUUGACAUCUUGAAGGAGCAAUGGAGCCCUGCCUUGACUAGCUAAAAAGUUCCAAAGAUGUCUAUUCAUUCAUGUCUAGCUCCUAGCUAGGCUAAUUGUUUAUAGCUGUCCGACUAACUAAAAAGUUCUCUUUGGGGAAUGAGCUUAUUAUGCUAUUUUUGGGGCGUCCUAGUUCUGUUUGCAAAAUUAACUUGCUGGUCUUCCAAAAUCGAUCGUCCCUAGGUGGUGCUUCGGUUUCCACUGGAGUUGCUUGGUUAAUAAUAAGUUGUUUAUGCCAAGGGAACUGAGUUGCAGCUGCAUUAGCAAGUAGAUGAGCAGCAGUUGGAGUUGAAGCAAUUGCUUGAAUUAGAGCUGGUGAUUGCUGCAUCUGAGUAUUGUAGGAGUCAGUGUUGGUGGUACUAUAGUCAUGGAAAGAAAUUCAGUGUGCAUGUGUUGAAGCAGGUGGGCAGAUGUUGUUGCAGGAGGUGAUGUCUUAUGGCAGUCAGUUCAGGUUGUAGCUGAGGCAUUGUUGGCUGGAAUGCAGGUGGUCUUGUUAUUUGGUUAUUGAUAUGCCUUAGUUGUUAUGCAACCAUGAAACUUUAAUAUUCUUCACCGUUUAUUCUUGUCAGCUUGUUCAGUUAUAUGCUUAUAUUGCUUGUUUGUACAUGAGACAAAGUACUGGAGUUGAUCAUUGGCAUAUAUAUGAAUGCCUUAAAAAUUGCAACUGAACUAGAGAGGAUGAGGCCUGAGAAUGACUUGCAGUGCACAUAACAAAGGCUUGAAGAAUGCUCCAAAGAGGUGCUCUUAUGCUGGAUGAGACAGAUGCUUCUUCGGGAUAAGCACCUGAAGUCAUGGUGAUUGCUGAUCCGGAGUGAGUCACCAUGAAGUAUCUUUGUGUUUUUAGUUUCUUCAUUUGGUUGAGUUGUUGUGACACUUCAAAGCGAUAAAUUUGGAUAUUCUGUCGACAUCGUCGGCUCAAGUUUUCUACACUUCACAACGAUAAGGAAGAUUGCUCAUCCUGCAACUACAAAAUUCACCUAAGUACCCUUCAUUUGUGAACAGUAAUGUGCAUUGUAUGCUUGCUGUCCUUUCUUAUAUGCCAGCUUUCGGACAGCUUUCAAUGGUUGAAUUCAGGCCCUGGAGAAUGUCGAAGAAGCUGUGAAAAUGUUAGAGCAAUUGCUUCAAUAGUUGCAUGUCUCCAGCUCUGAUCAUGGAAAGUGCAUUAAGAAGCCCACUUGCUCUGAUCUUGAGAGGAUAAGGAAGCUAAAAAGAGAAGCCGAAUUUCUGGAAGCGUCUUUCAGGGCUAAAGUGGCUUCUCUACAGCAGGCUCUUAUUCAUUUCUUGUUUAAGCAUUAGCUUUGUUUGGCUUCAAGCCUUAGUUGAGAUAGGGUCAUUAGUGUUAUGGAGAUGAUCAGAUGGGGGUGUUUCAUGGGUAUGAUCACCUGUAGCUAUUUAUUAAUUAUUUUUAGCUUUACAGAGUUGCAUA